UGAUGAUCUGCACCUGCACUCUCCU
rnacentral:piRNA from 1 species